UGAUGAUGAUAAUUUUUAUGUUCUACUAAAUAUUACACAAAAUAUAUUGAAAAGGAGCCUUGUAGGACCUCCUAUCAAAAUGGAUCUAAGUUUGUAUCAAAGAUUUUACAUGGCAAUCUAGAUAGAUGCCAACAAUAAUUUCGAAUGAAAAAUAUGUAUUUAUUGAUCUGUGCAUCAAAUUGAAAGUUAGAUAUGGUUUAAAAGCUUUUAGAUAUA
rnacentral:lncRNA from 1 species